UGACAGAACCAGGAAAACAAACAAAGGCUGGUUGUGAAGCAAUGGGUUAUCUGGAGUUGUGCAAGUUCAAGGCAUCAGAAGCUCGCGAACAAACCAACAGCAGUUGUAACCCCCUAACCCUAUC